rnacentral:rRNA from 1 species
GAUGAACGCUAGCGGCAGGCUUAACACAUGCAAGUCGUGGGGCAGCGCGGACUUCGGUCUGGCGGCGACCGGCAAACGGGUGCGGAACACGUACGCAACCUCCCUCAGAGCGGGGAAUAGCCUCUCGAAAGAGAGACUUAAUACCCCAUAGUAUCCUUGAAGACACAUGUCUAUGAGAUUAAAGCUUCGGCACUUUGAGAUGGGCGUGCGGCUGAUUAGGUAGUUGGUAGGGUAACGGCCUACCAAGCCGACGAUCAGUAGCUGAUGUGAGAGCAUGAUCAGCCACACGGGCACUGAGACACGGGCCCGACUCCUACGGGAGGCAGCAGUGAGGAAUACUUGGUCAAUGGAGGAAACUCUGAACCAGCCCAUGCCGCGUGGACGGAGUGAAGGUCCUCUGGAUUGUAAACUCCUUUUAUAAAAGAAGAAACCCCAUUUUUCUAAACUGGGUUGACGGUACUUUAUGAAUAAGCACCGGCUAACUCCGUGCCAGCAGCCG